GAUGAACGCUAGCGGAAGGCAUAAUACAUGCAAGUCGAACGGAUGUAGCAAUACAUUAGUGGCGCACGGGUGCGUAACGCGUAUGCAACCUACCUUCAUCAGGGGGAUAACUACCCGAAAGGGUGGCUAACACCGCAUAAUACUAUUGGGUGGCAUCACUUGAUAUUUAAAUCAGAGGAGGAUGAAGAUGGGCAUGCGUCUGAUUAGCUAGUUGGUGUGGUAACGGCGCACCAAGGCGACGAUCAGUAGGGGAACUGAGAGGUUGGUCCCCCACACUGGCACUGGGAUACGGGCCAGACUCCUACGGGAGGCAGCAGUAGGGAAUAUUGGUCAAUGGUGGGAACACUGAACCAGCCAUUCCGCGUGCAGGAAGAAGGGUCUCUGACUUGUAAACUGCUUUAGCAAGGGAAGAAAAAGCUCAUGCGUGAGAAAUUGACGGUACCUUGAGAAUAAGCACCGGCUAACUACGUGCCAGCCGCCGCCGUAAAAC
rnacentral:rRNA from 1 species